CCUACGGGAGGCAGCAGUGGGGAAUUUUGGACAAUGGGCGAAAGCCUGAUCCAGCCAUGCCGCGUGCGGGAAGAAGGCCUUCGGGUUGUAAACCGCUUUUGUCAGGGAAGAAAUCCUUUGAGUUAAUACCUCGGGGGGAUGACGGUACCUGAAGAAUAAGCACCGGCUAACUACGUGCCAGCAGCCGCGGUAAUACGUAGGGUGCGAGCGUUAAUCGGAAUUACUGGGCGUAAAGCGUGCGCAGGCGGUUAUGCAAGACAGAUGUGAAAUCCCCGGGCUCAACCUGGGAACUGCAUUUGUGACUGCAUAGCUAGAGUACGGUAGAGGGGGAUGGAAUUCCGCGUGUAGCAGUGAAAUGCGUAGAUAUGCGGAGGAACACCGAUGGCGAAGGCAAUCCCCUGGACCUGUACUGACGCUCAUGCACGAAAGCGUGGGGAGCAAACAGGUAUUAGAUACCCUGGUACGUCCACGCCCUAAACGAUGUACACGUUGGUUGUUCGGACGGUCUUGCUUGUUCGUACGUAACGAACGACGUACGCGUGUAGUAGACCGCCGUCGGGAGGUACGGUCCGGUCGUAGGUUAGUUAACGUACGUUAAGUUAGUAGUUAGACGGCGNGAGACGNGCGACGGACGACGACGAGGGAGGAGG
rnacentral:rRNA from 1 species